UACGAAGGACCCGAGCGUUAUCCGGAUUCAUUGGGUUUAAAGGGUGCGUAGGCGGAAUGAUAAGUCAGUGGUGAAAUCCUGCAGCUUAACUGCAGAACUGCCAUUGAUACUGUUGUUCUUGAAUACAACUGAUGUGGGCGGAAUGUGCCAUGUAGUGGUGAAAUACUUAGAUAUGGCACAGAACACCGAUUGCGAAGGCAGCUCACAAAAUUGUUAUUGACGCUGAUGCACGAAAGCGUGGGGAUCAAACAGG
rnacentral:rRNA from 1 species